GCAGAGCAUCUCCAACCUUCAGCCAAAACUCCAGGCCGUGUACGUGAACGACGCGGAGAAGUACUCCGCGAAAAUCUCACCGAUUUCGUUGGCGUUUGCCACGGAUUUUUCGAUCUAUAAAUAUCCCACAAUCUCCUCCGUUUUGACUCCCUAAAAUCCCUAAUUUUUGCGCCGCCAGGCUGCGCGAAUUUCUCGCCGGAGUACGGCGAAUUUCUCGCCGGAGUACGCCCGCCAGCAAGUUCGAAGGAGAACCACAAGAACACGCACACACGAGACCGUCGGAGCUUCACCGGAGACGGAGUAAUUCAGCUAGGAACCGCCGCUGAUCGGAACUAGCAGAUCGCUGAAGAGUAGGUGAAUGGAAUCAUCCCGUGAAGCCGCACCUCGCCGUCACCUGCAGAGUCGGAGGCAACAGCACCGCGUCCGUCUCCUUCGUCGUCCUCCACCACACCCCAGCAUCGUUCGUAGCAGUACGUAGCAGUGAGCCGAUUGCCCGGAUUGCAACGCGUGCGAUUGCGACGACUGUCUGAACACCGACCAAGGC